CAGCAGCCACGGUAAAACGUAGGGUGCAAGCGUUAAUCGGAAUUACUGGGCGUAAAGCGUGCGCAGGCGGUUUGUUAAGACAGAUGUGAAAUCCCCGGGCUCAACCUGGGAACUGCAUUUGUGACUGGCAAGCUAGAGUAUGGCAGAGGGGGGUGGAAUUCCGCGUGUAGCAGUGAAAUGCGUAGAGAUGUGGAGGAAUACCGAUGGCGAAGGCAGCCCCCUGGGCCAAUACUGACGCUCAUGCACGAAAGCGUGGGGAGCAAACAGGAUUAGAUACCCCGGUAGUCCCUGUCUCUUAUAC
rnacentral:rRNA from 1 species